rnacentral:rRNA from 1 species
UACAAAACCAACCCACUUUGUGGAGUCCUGGUGAUUCAUAGUAACCGAACGGAUCGCAGUUGGCUUCGGCCCGCGAUGGAUCUUUCAAGUUUCUGACCUAUCAGCUUUCGACGGUAGGGUAUUGGCCUACCGUGGCAGUGACGGGUAACGGGGAAUUAGGGUUCGAUUCCGGAGAGGGAGCCUGAGAAACGGCUACCACAUCUAAGGAAGGCAGCAGGCGCGCAAAUUACCCAAUGAAAACAGMUUCGAGGUAGUGACGAGAAAUAACAAUACAGGGCAUUUUAUGCUCUGUAAUUGGAAUGAUGGGAAUGUAAAACCCUUUCAGAGUAACAAUUGGAGGGCAAGUCUGGUGCCAGCAGCCGCGGUAAUUCCAGCUCCAAUAGUGUAUAUUAGAGUUGUUGCAGUUAAAAAGCUCGUAGUUGGAUUUCUGUCGUGGUCAUCCGGUACCGCCCGUAUGGGUGUGCACCUGGUUUGCCCUCGGCUUUCUUCCGGUAGCCUUCGCCGCUUA